rnacentral:rRNA from 1 species
UUUCCGUAGGUGAGUUGAGCGGUUUUUCCCCAUAACAUGCAUGUGAAGAAGUGAAGCUAACAAUAUCCUAUAGGUGAACCUGCGGAAGGAUCAUU